GCCGCUGUAGCCCAGGCGGUAGAAGCGUCGCCAGUACAGAUGGCGCUGGUUCAAAUCCAGCCAGCGGUG